rnacentral:rRNA from 1 species
CCUACGGGAGGCAGCAGUAGGGAAUCUUGGACAAUGGGCGAAAGCCUGAUCCAGCCAUGCCGCGUGAGUGAUGAAGGCCUUAGGGUUGUAAAGCUCUUUCGCCAGGGAAGAUAAUGACGGUACCUGGAUAAGAAGCCCCGGCUAGCUUCGUGCCAGCAGCCGCGGUAAU